UGGCUCAGAUGGUAAAGCGUCUGUCUGCAAUGCAGAAGACCCGGGUUUGAUCCCUGG
rnacentral:tRNA from 1 species